AGUGAACGCUGGCGGUAGGCCUAACACAUACAAGUCGAACGGCAGCACAGGAGAGCUUGCUCUCUGGGUGGCGAGUGGCGGACGGGUGAGGAAUACAUCGGAAUCUACUCUGUCGUGGGGGAUAACGUAGGGAAACUUACGCUAAUACCGCAUACGACCGACGGGUUAAAGCAGGGGAUCUUCGGACCUUGCGCGGUUGAAUGAGCCGAUGUAGGAUUAGCUAGUUGGCGGGGUAAAGGCCCACCAAGGCGACGAUCCGUAGCUGGUCUGAGAGGAUGAUCAGCCACACUGGAACUGAGACACGGUCCAGACUCCUACGGGAGGCAGCAGUGGGGAAUAUUGGACAAUGGGCGCAAGCCUGAUCCAGCCAUACCGCGUGGGUGAAGAAGGCCUUCGGGUUGUAAAGCCCUUUUGUUGGGAAAGAAAUCCAGCUGGCUAAUACCCGGUUGGGAUGACGGUACCCAAAGAAUAAGCACCGGCUAACUUCGUGCCAGCCGCCGCGGUAA
rnacentral:rRNA from 1 species